rnacentral:SRP_RNA from 1 species
CACCCGGGUAAGUCCUACACGGCCAGCUCCCUCCCAAUCCCCCAGGCCUUGACCGGAGCAAGGGUAACGAGGUUGUAGCGGCGCGCUGUAGCUCACUUGCCCU